rnacentral:sRNA from 1 species
UGAGGUCCAUAUUGUUGCGUGAACACCAU